AUUGAACGCUGGCGGCAGGCCUAACACAUGCAAGUCGAGCGGAUGAAGGGAGCUUGCUCCUGGAUUCAGCGGCGGACGGGUGAGUAAUGCCUAGGAAUCUGCCUGGUAGUGGGGGAUAACGUCCGGAAACGGGCGCUAAUACCGCAUACGUCCUGAGGGAGAAAGUGGGGGAUCUUCGGACCUCACGCUAUCAGAUGAGCCUAGGUCGGAUUAGCCAGUUGGUGGGGUAAAGGCCUACCAAGGCGACGAUCCGUAACUGGUCUGAGAGGAUGAUCAGUCACACUGGAACUGAGACACGGUCCAGACUCCUACGGGAGGCAGCAGUGGGGAAUAUUGGACAAUGGGCGAAAGCCUGAUCCAGACAUGCCGCGUGUGUGAAGAAGGUCUUCGGAUUGUAAAGCACUUUAAGUUGGGAGGAAGGGCAGUAAGUUAAUACCUUGCUGUUUUGACGUUACCAACAGAAUAAGCACCGGCUAACUUCGUG
rnacentral:rRNA from 1 species